AAGUGACUCCCUCUGGAGAAUUGGAAUGGAAAAUAUGCUGAGACAAAUAGGAAAUUUUUCUAUUCCUUAUCCCAUUUUGUAUGGCUUUCAUCUUUACUAUUCAGUAUUAUCUAUUACAUUUCAAUUUUUCCUUAAAAAUUAGCAUUAUAUUAAAAUUGUGUAUAUUAUGCAACUAGAAUUUAUAAAGAAAGUCUUAUAUACCAUUAAAUAUUUUAUAUAGCAUAAUAAAAAGAAUAACUUAACUGGUAAGAAUAACAAAAAUAAUGUACCCUCUGAAAAUAAGUAAAAUAUAAAAUGCAUAAAUUUGUUAAAAAACAGUGUAACUAUGUAAAUAUGUCCUCACAAUUUGUUACAUCUUAUUGAUUCUUCAAUAAAGGCAUUACACCAUUCUAGGUGAUAUGAUAAGACAUUAUAGACCUUACAUUGUACCAUGGAGAGAAAUGGUUAUUAAUAAUACAAUUGUAGAACUGUAUUAUUUAAUUGUACAGUUGCAUUAUUUAAUUAUAAUUAUCAUAAAUUCUUUGAUGGAGAGGAAAUCAGAAUCAGAUCUAAGAAGACUUCAGCAUUCCAAGAAUGAUGUCAAAUGACCCCCUUCAUGGUGGAUUAUGCACUUAUUUACUAUGAGAUAUAUUUCUUCUCCAGAGAUUCCUUGUUUGUGUAUCAAUUGUAGAUUUUUGGUUUGCAGUUAUUCUGAAGUUUUGAUGUAAGAGUCUAUAUGUAUAUGAGAUUGUUUUAAGUUGUUGUUCUCUUAAUUGCAAGUUCAUCUCCAGUGUCCUGCAUUUGUACCCACCUCUUCUCAUGAUUUCUGAUUUUGGUGGUAUAAUUGUGCAUGGAUGAUUUCGUAUCUUUACUGUAUAUAUACCUUUACUGGUGAGCCUUGUCAUUUGUGGAAUUUUUGUUUCCUGUUGCUGUCUUUUCUUUUCUGCCUAGAGAAGUUCCUUUAGUAUUUGUUGUAAGGCUGGUUUAGUGUUGCUGAAUUCUCUCAGCUUUUGCUUAUCUGUGAAGGUUUUGAUUUCUCCUUCAAAUCUGAAUGAGAGCCUUGCUGGGUAGAGUAAUCUUGGUUGGAGGUUUUUUCCUUUCAUCACAUUAAGUAUAUCAUGCCACUCCCUUCUGGCCUGCAGAGUUUCUGCUGAAAAAUCUGCCGAUAACCUUAUUGGGGUUCCCUUGUAUGUUACUUGUUUCUUUUCCCUAGCUGCUUUCAAGAUUUUCUCUUUGUCUUUAAUUUUGGUCAGUUUGAUUAAUAUGUGUCUCGGUGUAUUCCUCCUUGGGUUUAUUUUAUAUGGUACUCGUUGUGCUUCCUGGAUUUGAGUGAGUGGUUCCUUUCCCAUGUUAGGGAAGUUUUCGGCUAUUAUCUCUUGGAAUAUUUUUUCUGUCCCCUUCUCUCUCUCUUCUCCUUCUGGCACCCCUAUAAUACGGAUGUUGGUGCGUUUAACAUUGUCCCAGAGUUCUCUGAGACUCUCUUCAUUUGUUUUCAAUCUUUUUUCUCUUUUCUGUUCUGCAUCCGUAAUUUCCACUAAUCUGUCCUCCACCUCGCUUAUUCGUUCUUCUGCCUCCUGUAUUCUGCUGUUAGCUGCUUCUAGUGAAUUUUUUAUUUCAGUUAUUGUAUUUUGCAUCUCUUCUUGUUUAAGUUUUAUAUCUUGUAUCUCUUUGGUCAUGUUUCCUGUAAGUUAUCCAUCUUUGCCUCCAGUUUAUUUCCAAUGUCUUGCAUCAUCUUCAGCAUCAACAAUCUAAAGUCUUUUUCCUGGAGGCUAAGAAUCUCCUGAUCACUUAGCUGAUUUUCUGGGGUUUUUCCUUUCUCCCUCAUCUGAGGUAUAGUUCUAUGUCUUUUCAUUUUUAUAGGUUUUUGGUGUGGUGACCUUUUUAUAGAUAAUAGAGUUGUAGCCUCUCUUACUUCUGGUGUCUGCCUCCCUUGUGGCUGAAGUCCAUAUGGGGGCUUGCUGUAGACUUUUUGAUGGGAGGGGCUGAUGCCUGUCCCUGGUAGGUGGAGCUGAUUCUAAUCCCUCUGGUGGGUGGGGCUUAGUCUCUGGAUGGGAUUAGAGGCAGCUGUGUGCUUGAGGGGUCUUUAGGUAGCCUGUUUACUGAGGUGCAGGGUUGUGGUUCCACCUGGAUUGUUGUUUGCCCUGGGGCUUCUCAGUGCUGACUGAGGGGUGGGGCCAGAUUUUCCCAAGAUGGCCACCUCCAGAGAAAGGCAACUGCCGAAUAUUCCUGAGGGCUUUGCUUUCAAUGUCCAUCCAUGACAGCAAGCUGCAUUCACCCCUGUUUUCCCAGGAUGUCCUCCAAGAACUACAGUCAGGUUUGACCUAGGUUCCUGUGGAGACCUUGCUCUGCCCUGGGACCCAGUGCACGUGAAAGUCUGUAUGCGCCUUUUAAGAAUGGGGUCUCUGUUUCCCCCAGUCCUGUGGAGCUCCUGCGCACAAGCCCCACUGGCCUUCAAUGCCAGAUGCUCCAGGGGCUCUUUCUUCCAGUGCCAGAUCCCUGCAUGUGAGGGUUUGAUGUGGGGCUCAGAACUCUCACUCCUGUAGGUUAAUCUCUGUGAAUCAGUUAGUUUUCAGUCUAUGGAGCUUCCCAUCUGGAAGGUAUGGAGUUGUUUAUAUCACGAAAUCCCUCCUCCUACCUCUUGAUGUGGCCUCCUCUUUUCCAUCUGGAGUAGGGUAUCUUUUUUAAGGUUUCCGGUCCAUUUGGUUGAAGAUUGCUCAGUCUUUAGUUGUGAAUUUUGUUGUUUUUAGGAGCAAAGUUGAGCUCCAGUCCUUCUAUUCCGCCAUCCUAAUCCUCCAACUCUUACCACUUUUAUUCAAAAUAGUAUUGGAAGUCCUCCUAGAGCAAUAGGCAAAAAAAA
ensembl:lncRNA